rnacentral:sRNA from 1 species
GCUGAACUGGCUGCAUCAGGGAGAAAUUUCAUCUCCCAGAAGGGUGUUGCUCAUCGUUUCUUCCCGGAAACAUCUUCAGAGACUAGCUUUUCAGGCUAAGGUAUCCUCCAUGAUGUUACCAUUGCAAGGUGCCCAGAUGCUGCAGAUGCUGGAGAAAUCCUUGAGGAAGAGCCUCCCAGCAUCCUUAAAGGUGAUAAUGGAAAAUUCUGAGAGGAGUAAAGAAGACAAACUUGAUGUGAAAGAGGAGGGAAAGGGACUGAUAUUUAUGAUGCACCUAUUUUGAGCCAGGCACUAUUUCAUGUUUUCUCUCAUUUAGUAUGCCUUACCUCUCUACGAGAUGUUUACUGUCAUGUCCAUGUUGCUGUUAAGAA